CGAAAUGCGAUAAGUAAUGUGAAUUGCAGAAUUCAGUGAAUCAUCGAAUCUUUGAACGCACCUUGCGCUCCUUGGUAUUCCUUGGAGCAUGCCUGUUUGAGUAUCAUGAAAUCUUCAAAGUAAAUCUUUUGUUAACUCAAUUGGUUUCUACUUUGGUAUUGGAGGUCUUUGCAGCUUCACACCUGCUCCUCUUUGUUCAUUAUCUGGAUCUCAGUGUUAUGCUUGGUUCCACUCGGCGUGAUAAGUUAUCUAUCGCUGAGGACACUGUAAAAGGUGGCCAAGGUAAAUGCAGAUGAACCGCUUCUAAUAGUCCAUUGACUUGGACAAUACUUUUAUGAUCUGAUCUCAAAUCAGGUAGGACUACCCGCUGAACUUAAGC
rnacentral:misc_RNA from 1 species